GCAAACUUGGUCAUUUAGAGGAAGUAAAAGUCGUAACAAGGUUUCCGUAGGUGAACCUGCGGAAGGAUCAUUAAAGAGUAAGGGUCUUCUAGGCCCGACCUCCAACCCUUUGUAUAAUUUACCUCUGUUGCUUUGGCGGGCCCGCUGGGGAGACCCACCGCCGGCCUUGGCUGGUGAGCGCCCGUCGGAGACCACCUAAACUCUGUUAUCUAUGAAGUCUGAGUACUCUAUAAUAGUUAAAACUUUCAACAACGGAUCUCUUGGUUCUGGCAUCGAUGAAGAACGCAGC
rnacentral:misc_RNA from 1 species